AUUGAACGCUGGCGGCAGGCCUAACACAUGCAAGUCGAGCGGCAGCGGGAAAGUAGCUUGCUACUUUUGCCGGCGAGCGGCGGACAGGUGAGUAAUGCCUGGGAAAUUGCCCAGUCGAGGGGGAUAACAGUUGGAAACGACUGCUAAUACCGCAUACGCCCUACGGGGGAAAGCAGGGGACCUUCGGGCCUUGCGCGAUUGGAUAUGCCCAGGUGGGAUUAGCUAGUUGGUGAGGUAAUGGCUCACCAAGGCGACGAUCCCUAGCUGGUCUGAGAGGAUGAUCAGCCACACUGGAACUGAGACACGGUCCAGACUCCUACGGGAGGCAGCAGUGGGGAAUAUUGCACAAUGGGGGAAACCCUGAUGCAGCCAUGCCGCGUGUGUGAAGAAGGCCUUCGGGUUGUAAAGCACUUUCAGCGAGGAGGAAAGGGUGACGGCUAAUAUCCGUCACCUGUGACGUUACUCGCAGAAGAAGCACCGGCUAACUCCGUGCCAGCAGCCGCCGUAACAC
rnacentral:rRNA from 1 species